CGAACGAAGUAGCAAUACUUAGUGGCAGACGGGUGAGUAACAUGUGGGUAUCUACCCUUUGGCCUGGAAUAACACGAGGAAACUUGUGCUAAUACCGGAUAAGUCUUUACGGAGAAAGCUUUAUGCACCAUUGGAUGAGCCCGCACUUGAUUAGUUUGUUGGUAGGGUAAUGGCCUACCAAGACUAUGAUCAAUAGCUGAUUUGAGAGGAUGAUCAGCCACAUUGGGACUGAGACACGGCCCAAACUCCUACGGGAGGCAGCAGUGGGGAAUCUUGCACAAUGGAGGAAACUCUGAUGCAGCGAUGCCGCGUGAGUGAAGAAGGCCUUUGGGUUGUAAAGCUCUUUCGUCGGGGAAGAAAAUGACUGUACCCGAAUAAGAAGGUCCGGCUAACUUCGUGCCAGCAGCCGCGGUAAUACGAAGGGACCUAGCGUAGUUCGGAAUUACUGGGCUUAAAGAGUUCGUAGGUGGUUGAAAAAGUUAGUGGUGAAAUCCCAGAGCUUAACUCUGGAACUGCCAUUAAAACUUUUCAGCUAGAGUAUGAUAGAGGAAAGCAGAAUUUCUAGUGUAGAGGUGAAAUUCGUAGAUAUUAGAAAGAAUACCAAUUGCGAA
rnacentral:rRNA from 1 species